rnacentral:rRNA from 1 species
AUUGAACGCUGGCGGCAGGCCUAACACAUGCAAGUCGAGCGGUAGAGAGGUGCUUGCAUCUCUUGAGAGCGGCGGACGGGUGAGUAAUGCCUAGGAAUCUGCCUAGUGGUGGGGGAUAACGUUCGGAAACGGACGCUAAUACCGCAUACGUCCUACGGGAGAAAGCGGGGGAGUCUUCGGACCUCGCGCCAUUAGAUGAGCCUAGGUCGGAUUAGCUAGUUGGUGAGGUAAUGGCUCACCAAGGCGACGAUCCGUGACUGGUCUGAGAGGAUGAUCAGUCACACUGGAACUGAGACACGGUCCAGACUCCUACGGGAGGCAGCAGUGGGGAAUAUUGGACAAUGGGCGAAAGCCUGAUCCAGCAAUGCCGCGUGCAGGAUGAAGGCCUCGGUUGUAACUGACUUUGUUACGGUAACGAAACGGUAC